UUGAACGCUGGCGGCAGGCCUAACACCUGCCAGUCGAGCGGAUGAAGGGAGCUUGCUCCUGGAUUCAGCGGCGGACGGGUGAGUAAUGCCUAGGAAUCUGCCUGGUAGUGGGGGAUAACGUCCGGAAACGGGCGCUAAUACCGCAUACGUCCUGAGGGAGAAAGUGGGGGAUCUUCGGACCUCACGCUAUCAGAUGAGCCUAGGUCGGAUUAGCUAGUUGGUGGGGUAAAGGCCUACCAAGGCGACGAUCCGUAACUGGUCUGAGAGGAUGAUCAGUCACACUGGAACUGAGACACGGUCCAGACUCCUACGGGAGGCAGCAGUGGGGAAUAUUGGACAAUGGGCGAAAGCCUGAUCCAGCCAUGCCGCGUGUGUGAAGAAGGUCUUCGGAUUGUAAAGCACUUUAAGUUGGGAGGAAGGGCAGUAAGUUAAUACCUUGCUGUUUUGACGUUACCAACAGAAUAAGCACCGGCUAACUUCGUG
rnacentral:rRNA from 1 species